rnacentral:rRNA from 1 species
UUCCGUAGGGGAACCUCUUGGGGGAUCAUUACCGAGUUUACAACUCCCAAACCCCUGUGAACAUACCACUUGUUGCCUCGGCGGAUCAGCCCGCUCCCGGUAAAACGGGACGGCCCGCCAGAGGACCCCUAAACUCUGUUUCUAUAUGUAACUUCUGAGUAAAACCAUAAAUAAAUCAAAACUUUCAACAACGGAUCUCUUGGUUCUGGCAUCGAUGAAGAACGCAGCAAAAUGCGAUAAGUAAUGUGAAUUGCAGAAUUCAGUGAAUCAUCGAAUCUUUGAACGCACAUUGCGCCCGCCAGUAUUCUGGCGGGCAUGCCUGUUCGAGCGUCAUUUCAACCCUCAAGCACAGCUUGGUGUUGGGACUCGCGUUAAUUCGCGUUCCCCAAAUUGAUUGGCGGUCACGUCGAGCUUCCAUAGCGUAGUAGUAAAACCCUCGUUACUGGUAAUCGUCGCGGCCACGCCGUUAAACCCCAACUUCUGAAUGUGACCUCGGAUCAGGUAGAUGCCAAUU